GAUGAACGCUAGCGGCAGGCUUAAUACAUGCAAGUCGAGGGGCAGCAGGUUCGUAGCAAUACAGAUGCUGGCGACCGGCAAACGGGUGCGGAACACGUACAGAACCUUCCUUUAAGCGGGGAAUAGCCCAGAGAAAUUUGGAUUAAUACCCCAUAGUAUUGUUGAGUGGCAUCACUUGAUGAUUAAAGAUUUAUCACUUAAAGAUGGCUGUGCGGCUGAUUAGGUAGUUGGCGGGGUAACGGCCCACCAAGCCUUCGAUCAGUAACUGGUGUGAGAGCACGACCAGUCACACGGGCACUGAGACACGGGCCCGACUCCUACGGGAGGCAGCAGUAAGGAAUAUUGGGCAAUGGACGGAAGUCUGACCCAGCCAUGCCGCGUGGAGGAUGAAGGUCCUCUGGAUUGUAAACUUCUUUUAUUUGGGAAGAAACCCGAUUUUUCUAAGUCGGUUGACGGUACCAGAUGAAUAAGCACCGGCUAACUCCGUGCCAGCAGCCGCAGUAAAAC
rnacentral:rRNA from 1 species